rnacentral:piRNA from 1 species
UGGUGAGAAUUAAAAAUGAGC